rnacentral:rRNA from 1 species
UCACUAGUGAUUGGCAGCAGUGGGGAAUAUUGCACAAUGGGCGCAAGCCUGAUGCAGCCAUGCCGCGUGUAUGAAGAAGGCCUUCGGGUUGUAAAGUACUUUCAGCGGGGAGGAAGGGAGUAAAGUUAAUACCUUUGCUCAUUGACGUUACCCGCAGAAGAAGCACCGGCUAACUCCGUGCCAGCAGCCGCGGUAAUACA